GUCACAGGCCUUUCCAGUGUCACUACUGUCCCUACAGUGCCUCGCAGAAGGGGAACCUGAAGACCCACGUCCUCUGCGUCCAUCGAAUGCCUUUUGACAACAGCCAGUAUCCCGACCGCAGGUUCAAACGUUCCAGGGUCGACUCGGAGGCUUCUGGGAAUUUUGAGGAGGCUGCGGCUGUCAAGGCUGGGAGCUUUGCUGAGCUCACAGAUGAGAGAGGCAAAGGCCAGGAGGAAGGCAACUGAGCAGAGCGGCCCACCACGAGACCUCCUCUCUACAGUUUGAAAUCAUGCAUCUGGGCUCACCAGUUUGCUAACUGCAUUCCAAGGGGGAAACUAUGUACAACCCCUCACUAGUGUAUAGAACAUUUAAAAGAAUUUUAAAAGAUAUCUAUCUAUAUAUAUAUUAAAAAAAAAUCCCCCCAGCCCUUGAACAUGGCUGCUACACUGUUACUCAGUAACAAGAACUUCCAAGAAAUGCAGGUGGGAUAAAGUGAUUUUAGAAAUGGCCCCUGUGUUCCUCAAGCUCCUAUAGCUGGAGGUCCUUCUAACCCAAAAGUCAUCUUUGUCCAGAAAAACCCAAAAGCAAACAAAAACAAAACAAACAACAAACCAAUAACUGUACCGUUCGAGCGAUUCAGCGUCGCCUCGAAGGGUCUGUGUUCUCCUUCUUAAAAACACCUCUAUAAUCUGACACCAGCUGCUGUCCUUCCCCACCAUCCUAAUGAGAGGAGCUGGGAGGCAGCUGAGAGGUGCCAGUCAGACUGGGGCGGUCACUGCAGGGAAAAUCAAUUCACAUGGUGUCACUCUGCGCUCUGGGAGAAAUCCUAGCCGCCCGCUUGCAGUCAGAGAGCGCCAGGCCCGACCAGUGCUGCAGAGGAUGGUAAUCUAAAGUGUGCUUAAAAGAAAAAAAAAUACACAGCCGGAUGAAUCAGUGGUCAGGAAGUGUCUGCAGACAAAUGUCCUUUGCAGCUUUGAUGAGUCAUUCCCUUUUUUCCGUUUUCUUUCUUAAGACAUGCAUUUCAUUUUAUUAUUUUCUGUCCCUGGUUGUACUUUUGCAAACGUCUGGAUGAAGGAAAAAAGGUUUGCCAUUAAAAACAAAUCGUAGGAAACAUUCUAGAAACUGUCACUAGGAAGCCAGAGCAACUCCUCUCUGUAGAAAGUUCUGGUGACUGACGGCAAUUUCUUUGCUAAUGGGAAGCCUGCUUUAGAUUGUGUUUUGAAACAUUAUUUCUUUUUACUAGAAUGAAGUCUACCCUGGCCCUUGUUACCAGAUUUCUCCUUUCAUGUGUUACUUUUUAAGUGUUGUGGGCAUGAAGCAAGAAUUAUUUUUCCUCCAGUGAUUUCUCCGACAAUAACUUGUAUUAAAACAUGAAUCUAAACCCCCAGAUGUCUGUCACUAAUGAAGAAAACAGUUUGAGUUAGAAUGUUCAUUUCUUUGAGCCAAGUGUGUUCUGUAGCUUUGUAGAUGAUGGUGGUAGUGAUCUGAACACUCAGAUUCUAUUAAGCUCUGCACCGCACUGAUGGAGAAUUUUGAGGGUUGACAAGGAAACACAGCUCGCAAAACAACAAAAACAAAAACAAGGGUGUAAGAAAAGUCCCAGAAGGAUUCUUCUGGAAUCUGCUAGAAUGUUAUAAAAGUCCCCGCUUUCUAACACACUUCCUUUGAGUGACAUGAAAUUGCUACCGUUGCUAGUGACAGCGGAGACGUAGUGAGGUAUUAACUUCAAAAACGAAAUCAUUUAGACUUGGAGAGAGAGAGAGAGGGAAAAAAAAAAAAGUCAAUAAUUCCUUUUAGUCUGGGAGCACACUAUAAAACCCCAGGGCCUUAAAAACUUCAACUCUGCCUAUAGCAGUUUACAAAAAUACUAAGCUGCAAUCAAUGUAAAUAACAUUCUUAGCACUAUCCUGAGACUGAAUUUCAGGCUAAUAAGGAAUUCGGUUUGCAUAUGCUGUCAAGAGGGUGUCAUCCGACCUGGGUUUCACUGGGAAUGAGGCCGCUGGGCAGCGUGGACCCAUCUGGCAUAAAGCAAGCUGCUUUCUUGCUGGUUUUCUUUUCUUUUUUUUCUUUUCAUUUGUUUUCUUUCUUCCUUUAUUUUUCUCUCCCACCCCAACCCCCUUCUCUAGAAUAGUUCUCACUGCCUUACUUAACUCAAGUUGAUCAACUGUGGCUGUCUCUGUGGUCCACAGGAGGCCUGGAGACGCUGGUGGAAAAAAAAAACAAACCGUCUGACCGUAGUAAGCAUUUAGGGUUUUAACUGCACUGUUGUGUUUGGUGACCGUGCCAGUGGCUUGCUUUCUGUGUGUUUGCCCCACCUGUGGUAUCUUAGCAAAGAAAACUUAAAACAAUAAAAUAAAAUUAAAAAAAAAAUAAAAAGGAAAAAAAGUGGGAAAAAAGAUUAAAAAGAAAAAAAAAAAAAGAAAAAAAAGAAAGAGCAGGAGAGAUCCACAUUCCGUGUCUAGCACUUUGGCGCUGGUACAGUAUCUUUUAUGCCCCCCAAGCAUCUUCAGAUGCUACAGGCAAUAAUUCUGUUUGUGACACUGGGAACAUCCUCCCCUUCUUUGUGGCGUGUGUGUUGAUCCCACUUUGUCCCGUCCUUCUAGCCAGCCCCCUUUCCCUCUGACACAGGCUUUCUUUCCGGAACAUUUGUGACUUGUAACACAAGCCCGUGGCAGCCUCUGUGAUGCAGUGUCAGCGUCGCGUGUCACCAGGCUCUUGUAUCUGCACACCUCAGCCCCUCCCCUGUGACUUCUGUAGUCUGUGACGCUGUCCCCAACCCUGUCUACAUUCUAUCUUGGAGGAACUCUGAGAUCAUAGAGUAGAGGAGUUUGUCGCUAUGCUUGUAACAAGUAGAACACUUUGUAUUUAAAGUUUAUUCUUGGUCAUUAUUUAUUAUUAUAAUACAUCAGUUGACAGAACUUUAUUCUGGUAUAGAAAGUAUUAAAAGUUGUUUUUUUCAGCGAUGACUGUUUCCUUUCUGCUGUUAGGAAUAAAAUGUCUUUGAAGCAGUCCAGUUUUAUCCGGUGUUUUAUGCAGUAAAACCUCUACCUUUGCAAAACAAAAAUCCAAAACUAAAAAAAGUAUAUCUUUGCUGAGUCCUACAAAGAAUAAAACCUACUUCUCUGUGCUUGU
rnacentral:lncRNA from 1 species